AGUUAUGCGAAAUUUUAGCUUGGUGUACCAAGACUUUUGACAAGAAUUGUAGUUCUUUGCUGCAAUAUGCAAAUUUACCCAAUGACAUGGUUUGUUUUCCUGCACUGGUUGCAGUACCAAGAUUUUGCAGGUGCUCUGGUCAAUAAUUUUUACACAACCAUUAGAGGAACCAUUCCAUUUCACAAUCAGGUUCAUUACAGGGAAUUAUAGGUUGGACUUUUAAAAAAGCAAUGAAGUUUGUCUGAGUUGUCCUUAUUUUGAUCAUGCUUUCUAGGCAAUGGGAUAUAAGCAAUAAACUAUUUCAGGUAAAAUGUAAAAAAUACCUUGCAGAAUUUUUCUUUCCAUUUGAGGCAAAAUUGAUUGUCUUCUUCAAUGGUCAAGAAGAGCUUGUCACUUUCUUUCUGCCCUUUUGUCCAAAUGAAAAAGUAACAAUAAGUUCGUCCAGUUACAAGAAGUUGGUGCUGCCCUUGAGAAUAGCAUUGGUGGUUCUGCCUUAUUACAUCAUCAGAAGAGAUUGGAAAAUUGGGAUCUGACUUCCACCAAUCCAGGCUAUCUUCACAUUUAUAUGGGCAUUUACUCUAGUACUCCUUUUCGAUGACACUCAUCUUCAUCACCAGUAUCUGUUUCACUAUUGCUCCUGUCAUCAUGUAAAGACGAAUCCAGAAUACUUGUAAACAUUCCUGCACUUGGGGCCAACUUUCUCAGUUUUUUAAUUUAUUUUUGGCAGAUGUCUCACCAGAAACUGGCGGAUCUCUAGAACAGUAUGGCUUCUCAAGUUGCCUACUACCUUUUGUCUCAUUUUGGACACAACUAUCUUUCUUGGGGGAACGAAAGUAAAUGUUUUUUUAGAGGGGCUGGCUCAGCAUACCUCUAUGCACAUAGCUUAAUGGUGCUGACGACUUCAUUCAGUUGGGUGCAUGCCUGAAGUUUGAAGAGCAGGGCAGCCACUUGACUACAGACAGAUCCUUGCCUAAAAUGUUAAGUGAAAGCAUACAUAUAAACAUGUAUGUAUAUAUCUAUUCCUUUAUGGAUUUAGCUGUAAACAUGCUUCUUUAUUACAGGGAUAUGAUGCAUCAACUAAGAAGAAAAAUUAAAAUUUUUUACCUGACUUUUUAGAUGUUUUUUAAAUAUCUUGAAAUCUAAACUUAGCCUGCCAUACAAGUACAAUUAGCAGAGAAAAUUAGCCUUCUUUUUUGUGUAGUACAACCCACACAUCAUGCAAUCAUCAUUUCUGUCCUUGUCUUUGACUUGGUAAAACCUGAAUUGAACAGUGACCCUGAUGAUAUUAACACACUGUAGUUGGGAGUGAAAUACAUCACCUUAAAUAAAAAAAUCAUAAUUUAUAAGAUUUUACCAGCAAAUGUAAAUUUGUUUAUAAAGAUGUAAAAAGAAAAACAUUUAUACAGAUAGGAGUAAAGACAAAAAAGAUUUACAUACCUGUGACUUUAUACAACAAAAAUCGCUUGUGUUGUUCAUUGGAUAAUUAUAGACAUCAUUAACCUGUCCACAGAUGAAAAAGUUGUAUGCCUCUAAAGACUUGUAGGCCUUUAACAAUUCUUUAGUAAAAUUACUUGAGGUAUUUAUUACUUAGUUGUAUAUAUCUGGCCAGCCAACAUCUGGGAGCAAACCAACAACAUCCUGCCAGCCUUUAUCAAGACCCUAUGGGUCCAGAAGGACAGAACCAUCGGUUAACGUUAAUUUACAUUUGUAAUUUGCGGGAUCUUUUUUAUCCAUAGAAUCAAAAUAGCUUUUAUCUGAUGACAUCAUAUGAAAUAUUAUUAAGCAAAUUACAUAUCCAAGCAAAAUUUAUAUGCAUUUAUAUGCAUUUCAACUUCAAAGGAACAUUCAGCAUUUAGUGUUUGCAAUGGCUGACAGAAAUUAAAAAUUAAUUUACGUUGAUGCAAUGGAAAAAUUAUAGAUGAAGGAGUUUCUUGAGCUAGAUCACUGUCCAAAGAACUGAACAGCGAUCUGUUGAGGACCCCAGCACCAAGACAACCAUAUGAUUAUGAUAAAGGCCAACCCUAUUUCUUUCUAGCUGACAAUGCAAUUCCUUUAUUAGCCAAUCUAAAAAAGCCAUAUCAAUUAAGAGGGCUUUCAAAACAGAAUUACAGGUUGAGCAGGGCCAGACAUUGUUGAGAAUGCAUGUGGCAUAUUAACUCACUGCUUUCGGGGAUUUCUUUAACCUACUCAGCUUGCCCAAGAAAACGUAGGAUAAUAGUAUUGGCUAGCUGUGCCUGACAAAAUUUUCUACAAGACAAAGCAGCAUCGAAAUAUAUGCCAAUGGAAACUCUUGACAUUGAAGAUUUAGAAGAAGGGCAAGUUAACAAAGGUAGUUGGAGAUCAGAGCAAGGUGAACUCCUGUCUAUUACGAUUAUUAGAAACAAAAGUUAUAGAAAUGACAGUAAAGUUGUCAGUGAUGAAUAUUGUUAAUAUUUUAACACAAGUGGCCAUGUGACAUGGCAUGACAAAUUUAUUGAAAUACUGACUUUGAAACUGGCUUUGAAAAAAGCAAACAUUUGAGUAAACCAAAGCUUUAAACCAAAGGUAUGGUUUCCUUACAUAUGUAUUCUUCAACAUUUAUGGAAGACCUUAUUGCAAUCAUUUCUUUGCUACAAGGAACUGCAACUUUAGCUGCUAAUUCCAACUGUCAGCACUAAUUCCAACUCUUUUACAAUAUUUGAACUUUCUUUUGCUGUUGGCUCUCAGUUUCAGUUUAGAAACCUUGGACUUUGCAACUGAACAUUUCAAUUUCUUUGGUGAAAGAGAUUUAUCUUUCAAUGGCAGAUUAUUCUCUGUUGGCCUGUGUUUUCUUGCAGACUGCAAAGUAUCUGAAAUCCUGCAGUAAAUUUUAUCCAACACAUGUUGAGUUUUGAAGAGGUAAAGGUCAUCACAAAGGCUUUUUAGGGCCUGUAUGAUCUUUACCUCAUCAAAGCGCAACUUUUUUGUUCUUCUUGUUGGAAUUUCUUUAUUUGCAGUUCUUUUGUUUGUAGUAGAGCAUCUUUGAAAAACUUAUGUAAAGAGUGAUCUUCCUGGUGCAUACUUGAUGUUGUAUGGAAAUCAACUACAGGAUCAAGUAUGAAAAGUGGAGGCAUUGCAAAACUAGACCCAAGUGCUUCCCAUUGAACUGUUGGCAAACUCGCCACAGCACAGUUGUGUUUGCAGGGCAUUCUUGUUUUUGAAAUUCUAUACAUUGGCAAGAUAGCAGUUAGUCAGACGACCCAAGCCAGACCUGGUACUCGAGCUUUCCAGCCUCUUGUUUGGAUGCAAACAAACGUGGAGAAAUCUUUCUUAUCUUCUCUUUUUGCAAUCUCAUUUCAUAAGGUGCAUGGUGUGUGUGACGAGGCUCUUUGGCCGAUUAUGUAAGAACUUUGGUACAGCAUCAUGGUACUUCUGAUAACAGUCACUUGGCUUUUUGUCACAGUACCUGCAAGGUGUUAGAUAAAGAUAGAAGAGAUGUUAGUUGAUACCAUGAUUGAGGGCUCCUUUUAAACAACAAGGUAGCUUUGUGAAUAAGUGCUUAAUCUCAGAGUAGAAGAAAAAAUUCUGCAAAUAACUGUUCCCAUUCUUAUUUACCAUUAAAGAACACCGAAAUUAUGAGAGUAGUGAGAUUAUGGAAAUAAUAUAGUUGGAAAAGUAGAAAUAAUAUAGAGACGAAUUCUAGAGCCAUCAUAACACUAUUUCUUAUUAGUCCACUAAGCUCCUUGUUAUCUCUUAGGACCAUUGGUAGAGAUGUCAAGCUCAGGGGGUGCAAGUUUAGGUGGGCGUGGCCUUUCAUUGUCAUACAAACAUACUCAUUGUUGAGAGGCUCUAUUUUUAUCUAUUUUAUCUAUUUGCAUAGAGAAACAUUUUGAUUCUCACUUUCUCUUAUCUUUCACGUGAUAGGGCACAAAGAGCUGACUUCUUUCCCAGGAAUGAAACUUCACCUAAAUUCACAAGGCCCAGGCGCUGUUGGGAAUUCCAUGAUGAGCAAAAUUGCCGGAAAAGUCGAUAGAGGAGAGCAACCAGUCUUGAUCCAGAUUCAUUGGAAUCUGUUUGCUGAAAAUUGACCUGCAGACAUUUUAUGGCAAUCUGAUGAGAUGGCAUGAAUUUAGGAAUUCUUUGAACACGGUGUACACAACAAUCAAAUGCUGCCGGACCAUCAAAAGCUGUACUUGAAAAAGUGUCUCAAGGGUCCUGCAUUUGUGACAGUUUCAGACCUUGACUUGAUAGGAGAUCAUUACCAAACUGUUGUUAGACUUCUGAAGGACCGAUAUGGCCAUAAAAAUUUUCUAUGAAAGUCACAUUUCGAUGGAUUGGAAAAGAUGCCAGUUGUUAACAACAGCUGCGAAUUGCAGCAGUUGCAACGAUUUUUUGAAGAGGUUGAAUGCCACUACAAGGCUCUUUCUGCAAUCAAUGUGAGGCCAGAGGAGUAUUCAACACUGAUGGUGCUAAAGUUCUUAGGCAACCUUCCUAUGGAUAUUCACAUCAAAUUGAUGGAGAAGAUGUGGAAAUUGCGAGACUGGUAGAAGGGCUGAGGAAAUGCAUCAGAGUAAUGGACAAGUGCGGUUUACAAGUGAAGACAUUUCCACAGAAAAAAUAAACCAUUUGUCAGAACACUCAACAGGUGCUAAACAGACAUCUGCAGACAGUCAACGAAGGCUGAGAUGCGAGUUUUGUCUUGGUGAUCACAAAGCAGGCAAGUACAGUAAGUACCAGACAGUCUCUGAAAGAGAAACAGUGACAAGAAAAUACAAGAGAUGUUUUGGGUGCUUAACGACAGGACAUAUGAUGAGGACCUGCAAAAAUAGAAACGUCUGUGUCAAGUGCUCCAAUUCCAAACAUCAUGUGCAAUGCUACCAAGGAGCCCAACGGUGUCAUCAAGUCAGUGAAAAUGUUGAAUCCAACAGCUGCAGUAGGGUAUCAGACAGUAAUUGAAAACUUCAGUGUGCAGAUGGCACAAAGGCAGUGAAAUGCAGAGUUUUGCUUGACAGUGGGAGUGCCAGAAGUUUCUUCAAUGAAAAGCUGGCAAGACAACUUAGAAGUACACCGACAGGGAAAAGGCUGCGUCAGAAAUUUGAAGGCCUCAACAAAAAUGUUCAAGAGCUAGAGACAGAGACACGCAUGGUGCUUUUGACGAGUCUUGAUGGUUCAUAUGAAAACUUAGUGCAAGUCAAAACACUCCUGACCAUAACCACAAUUGGAAACCCAGCCCCUCUAAAGCUCAAGAAGAAGUACCCACAUUUGCAGGGCAACUAUUUUAAAAAUGUGACAAAAGACAGAAAUUUUCAAGUGAAUAUGUUGCUUGGAAGUUAGCAUCUUGCAGAAACACAGGCAGGACUCAUCAAACGAGGGGAAGCGAGAGAACCUGUAGCAGUGAAAACAAAGCUGGCUGGACUUUAAUGGGAACGACAGGGCAAAAGGUAAUUGAAUACAGAAAGGUACCUAUAAACCUGAUCAUAGAGAAUGGCCACUGCAUCAAGGAUGAAGUUUCAAAGCUGUAGGACCUUGAAAUAUUGGGGAACAAAGAGGAAGAUCCAGUACACAUGGUCUUUGAAAAGGAAAUCAAAUUCAGUGGCAAAAGAUAUUCAGUACCCCUCCCUUGGAAAGAAGGAAGAUUCAAAGUUCCAGUUAACAGAGGACUGGCUGAGGGAAGGCUGAAGAAUCAGAUGCGAAAAUUGAAGAAAAUUCUUUUGGAAUAUGAUGGUAUAAUAAAGCAGCAACUUGAGGAAAGGAUAUUUGGAAAAGGUUCCAGAAAAGCAAACUGGACCAAAAAUAACCUACAUACCCUAUCAAGCUGUAGUAUGUGAAGAGGCAACAAGCACAAAGGUGAGGGUGGUUUACCAUGCAUCUGCUAAGAUAAAAAAGGAGCGAAAUCAUUCAACGAAUGUCUGCACACUGGGCCGUCAUUGAAUCCAUUGCUGUAUUCAAUCCUGCUGAAUUUCUGGAUGUAUAAGGGAAUACUGAUGCCCUACAUCAAACAAGCAUUUCUGCAAAUUGAAAUCGUUAGUCUCAAAAUAGCCCAAGGGAACAAUUUUCAGUCAGGGUCUAUUUCCCAUCUUUUGCCAGUGAAUUUGAUUUCCUCUUCAAAGAUGACAACAAUGUGUCUCUGCAUCUGCAGUAUGUUGAGACAUAGCUGAAUGGAAUUUGGGAUCGUUGGAAACAAAAGUACCUCAUUGGGUUAUGGGAAUUUCAUAGACCGAAAGUGCACAAGAAGGGCUCCAGUUACGAAGUUUAGCCUAGUGAUAUCGUUUUUUUAGAACAAGGGACCUCACAGAGGUUAGUGGAAGAAAGGAAAAGUCAUCAAAUUACUCAAAGGAAAGGAAGUUAGGAUCGCAAGAGAAGAGAAGUUACAAACGAAGGAUUGAAAGAGCAAUUUAGCAGGAAUUCCCAUUAGAGCUGUUUGCUGAAAUUUCGAAGAAGCCUCGCAAGGAAGAGCAAGCCAUGCCCAGACGAAGCACAAGACUGGCUGCACUGAACGCAAAAGCCAUAAGCAGCACAAUCACAGAGUAUGUCAACCAAGAAGAACUUUCUUGACGAUGGGAGUGUGUGCUGAAUUAGGCCCAUCACGGCGGACAGUUAGGCCAUGAUAAUUUGGGGCAGUUGUCCAAACAAACAAUAUGGGAAUGAUCCACUGAAACGAGGUACUGGAAGGUCCCAGAACCUUGUGAACAUGCCCAGUUGGCAGACACGGCUUGUUUAUGGAAAGUAUAUGACAAGUCUACAUGCACAAACGAUCAUAGUAUUGGAUGCUGUGCGUUAAUUCUUGUUGAUUAGUUCUUGUUAUCUAAUUAAUUAGACGCUUUAGUUCCCACAGGGCAAUAGGCGAUUCCCUUUAGAUAGGAUAUAUAAGGAAGCAUAAUGCCUAUUGUCCAAGUUUGCUGUCUAGUGAAUUAGAAUUAACGGUUUGAGAUAUACAAGAAAGAAUUAAAGAGCUGCGGAAAUCAAACAAAAUGGAGGUACAGGAUCUAUUCAGAGUGAGCAGUCAAAUGUUUCAACACCAAGCUAUCAGGGAAACGUUUUAACGACACCAACCAGGCCGAGAAGCGAACAUGGAGGUGGUGGGGCAAAGGCAAGGCUACCGAAAAUCAACCUUCCAAGGCUCAAUGGGGAGAUAACAUGAUUUUCUUCGUUCUGGGACAGUUACGCGAGAAGUUUGAUUAUUUGGUUUCUCCGCUAGAAGGCCCCGUCGCAAGAGCCGUACAAGGGUAACUUUUAGCCGAAGUAAAUUAUGAAAAUGCUGUUGAGCUUUUGAAGGAACGCUAUGGAAAUAAGCAAAAAAUGAUAUCCACACACAUGGAUUAAGUGCUAGAACUUCAAAAAUAUGUAACAGAAAAAACGUUGGAGUUAAGGUUGCUAUAUGACAAAAUCAACAUUCACAUAUGUGGAUUAGAGUCUUUGGGUGUAAACGCGGAACACUACGGAAGUUUAUUGAUUCCUGUAUUUAUGCAAAGAAUUCCAAAAAAUAUCUAACUGCAAAAGCUGUGUCAAAAAAUGUGUGUAGUAUGCCUCAGAUAUUGGAAAUUAUUAGGAGUGAAUUUGAAGCCAGAGAAAUGAGUGAGGAUGUCAGUGUAAAAGAAAGAAAAGUUGGGUUCUUUCAGAAGACAAAAUCACCUCCUGCAACAAUGUCAGCAUUUUACACAAGAGAAGAGGAUAAAAGUCAAAGGUGUUUGUUUUGUAAAGAAGGUCAUCGAGCAAAUGAAUCCACAGAUGUCAAAGAACCAAAAGAGAGGAAAGACAAAUUGAGACAGUCGGUAGAUGUUUUAUUUUUUUAAGCCAAAAACACCAGGCAAAGAAUUGUAGCUGAAGACAGCGUUGCAGAAACUGUGAAUAUUUUCAUCAUGUUUUCAUUUGUAGAGUCGACCAAUGGAUUCUGUAGAAGAUAGUCAACUUCAUUAAUUCCAUAUUAUUUGAAAAUCCCAAAAUUUUAAACUUGUGAACAUAACUGCAGCCAUUAUGAAUAAAUUUGCGCUUAGUCUGGGAUCUAGUUUACUGGGGUGAAAAACGGUCUGUUGCAAGGAAAGAUAUUUAUCGUUGAACAUUCGAGACUCAGCUAUCUUGGCAAAUUAUAUUUUGACAUGAAAUGAAGAAAAUGAAAGACUUGACGAUCCUGCAUACAAGCUGUGGCUAUGUGUAGAGAAAAAAUCUGCUACAGUCAAGAGUGCUCAUUGCUCUUGCAAGACUGCGAUGUCCCAGACAUGCGACCAUGUUGCUGCUGUUCUGUUUAGAGUUGGGGCUGCCAUCAGACUUUGUCUUGCAAAUCCUGCCUGCACUGGCAUGCCCUGUGAGUGGUUACCAAACCGUGCUAUAAUUGAACCCAAGAAGAUCAAGGCUGUCCAGUUUAACAGGGAUGAUUUUGGAAAUCAAGGAAAGAAGAAGCUUUUUUUUGGUUUCCUCUCCAAAGAAGAUUUAUAACCCUCUUUUGUAGAGCCAAGUGAAGCUGUUCAAGUGAAUGUUGCAGAUGUUGCUUAAGCACUGAGGGAAGUUGAAACUCCUCUUAUUUUGUCAGCUGCUGUCCCAAAGCCAAAGAUUAAUGCUAUAGAAGAUGUAGUUUUGUCAUUGGCACCAAAGCCAGACAAUAUAAUAAGCAUUGAUCAUGUUUUGAUGGUGUCAAAAAGUGCCAGAAGUUUUUUUCAGAAUAGUUCAGAAAUCAUGAUUCUUGAAAAUGUUGAGAAUAUCGAAAAUCUGACAAAGGGGCAAAGUGGUAACAAAAAUUUGCAUAUAUACUGAAAGUAUGUUAUCGCAGCAUCAAAAUGUCAUUAAGUUAUGACCAGAAUGAGAAAAGUAAAAUAUUCUUGGGUGGGUCAUAUCAAUUUAUCAUCGUUAUUUCAAAAAAUUUCUGUGAUGACAUUUGUAAAUCAAGACUUUAAACCAUGCACAAUGGUGUCAAAAUAGAAGGGUGUGGUUUAUUCCUGUACCAGAAAUAUUAAUUUAUUGGAGCAAGUCCAGAUAAAUGAGUAACAUGCUCUUGUUGUGGAAAGGCAACUUGGAAGUCAAAUGCCCUAUUUCCAUAACUCAUACUUUACCUCAAGACAUAAAUGUAAAUUUGCCAUACCUGCUAAAAUGCUAAUGCUAAAAUUGAAACAAAGUCACAUAUAUUUCUCUCAGUCUUAAACACAGACAGAUGGCUGUUACUGUUUUUUUUUAAAAAUGUUAAUUUUUGUUUGGGCUUCACAUGGGUACUUCAUUGAGGAGGUAAAAUUUGCAUGUGAUUUUUGGAAUGAAGUAUAGCAACGACUAGUUGACUUUUACAACAACUAUUAUAUUCAGUCAUUCUAUGGUUGAAAUUUGCUAAUAUUUCCUUCUAAACAUUCUCUGUGAGAUCUCAAAAGGAGAGAAUUCGUCAUUUUCCUGGCAAAUGAUUACAGUAGUAAACAGAUGAUUUGAUUUCUUGUGAUUUUGAAAGACAAUCUUUACUUUUGAUUGAAAAAUAACUCUUUUUAGAGCGUCGAGAAUUCGCAGUGAAGGCUACGGAGGCAACAGGAAAAGGUCAAGGGCCAAAAUGUGGAAAAUUAGCGUCUCUGGGAAAACCAAUCGGUAUAUUAAUCGACCAAAGAAAGACAUUGGUGACCUGGUAAACAGCAACAGGCAGUUAUUAGUUUUUAAUUAUCUGUCUUUUUAAGGUCCUUCUUUACUUAGAAAUGCAUUAAAGGUUUCCCGUUAUUUUAAUAAUUCUUCUUUACAUUUUUGGCCUUGUUUUAUCAAACUUAUCCAUGAAUAUUUUUUGGCCUUUCCUGCAUUUCCACAUAUGUAUUGUUGGUAUUAUGUUACUCUAUGAGUUUUAAACCACUCUAUGUGUUAUCUAGGUGGGGGUAUUCUCCAACUCUCAGCUGCGCCCACAUGUAAAAGGUGAUGUCCAAGUUCCUACAAAUUGGUUUGUUAACUCGACUCUGGGUGGUUGCUUCUAUCAUGUAAAGGAGGAGAUGGUGAAUGCCAAAUUCCCAGAUGGCGCGAAGCCUCAUACGGUAUUUCUUUUAUCUCGACACGUCCUAAUGGAUAAGGCAAAAGGAGAUAUCUGUGGUCUCCUCCACGCAGUUUUCGGAUUCAAUGGUAAUGAAUCACUGCUUCUAUCUAGCUUCCUCCAUAGAGCAACUCACUCUUGAACUCUGCCAAAACAAAAGUCCAAGGAUUUUUUAUAAUAACAAUAAGGUUUCCAGCAAAGGUGUAAGGGAUUUCCAUGGAAUGAGUUACCCUCCAAUGCCUCUGCAUGAUGAGCAAUAUCAUACCAGAGUAAUAAAUUUUGAUAAACCUGUAUCACUGAAAGUAAAAUUCAUUGUUCUUUAGAAGUUUGCACGAUUUCAAUGCUUAUUUAUUGGAUUACAAAUCUUUUGUACCAGUUGAUAAACAGAUUUGAUAUCAACGAUCAUAGCUGAACCAGUUCAGUUCAGUUGAAUUUUAAACCGUUGCUGUAUCAAUAACUAUGCAUAUUCAAGGUAGAAUAUCAAUAUGAAAUGCAUUGACUCUGGCACCAACUUUGCAGGAUCAUGAUAAUUACAGUGUUGCAAUUUGUUUUUAAGUUUCUAAUUUUUGGCACUUUAUAACAGAUCAUUGCUGUAUUAAUAUUGCCACAGCUGGACGAAUAUUCGAUUUGGGGGCAGCAGUACCACAGUAUAAUGGUUGAGGAGUGCAAAAAGCUGGGCGUCCAUUUCCAGGAUGUUACGCCAAAUUUUUAUGUAACCCAUCGCUGUCUGUGGUGUUGGAGAGAUGGCCUCCAUAUCAGCGAGGAUAAAGGACUGCCUCUCUUGAUGUGCCUAAUAAAAAACGAAAUUCGCUACCAGAAGAGUAAGGAGGAAGCCUCAAAAUCUCUGCCAACCCCUCCACCCCCUCCGCUACCAACAAAACCUGAAUGUCCAAAGUGGUUAUGGAGGGAGCAUCGAUACCAUCGCUGAGAAGGUAGGCAAAUGUAUUGCACUUUUGUGAAAAAGAAUUAGAAAUAGAUAUAGUGUAAUUGUAGAGGAAAUAUGAAAAAUGAUAUAAAAAAUUUUAUUAACAACGAUAUAUAUUUCCUUAGGUCCAGUAAGGCUUAUCAAGGGGACAGCACCUCCUGAAACAAAUAGAAAAAAGGCCGCUCUCAGCCACAGGUAAGAGAACUGUGGGUUUUUGACGAAGAAGGAUGAAACACUUAAGAGUUUUUUUUAAUCUUUCUUCCACCAUAAAAAUUUUUUCAAUGGCAUUAUCAAUUACAAUGUGGUACUGAGCACUACGAGUCCUGGUAAAUGAAUGCAAAAACAUGUUUUUCCCCUCAUCUUUUUUGUUGGAAAUGAUGGAUUUUGCAAACUUCUGACAUUUAUCUACCUUUUAGAGUGGAAAAAGUGUAGCAAAGUCUGGUUCCUAUAAUGUGUCCAAAGAGCAGAGAGGUAAAUGUAAGUGUGCUGUUUCAGAUUUUCGAAUUUUUCAACAUGAUUAUUUUUUGGACAAGUAAGUCUCAGAGAUACCCCGAUAGUAGAAUGUUAAUAAUACGACCUAUAAUAUAUUUCAAGUGAAAAAUGCUUAUAAGGAAAGAGUAGCUUCAUUUGAUUUUUGCAUUUUCUUAUAGGGAUGAAGCUGCGGAUAACUUUAGAUGCAAAGUACCCCUCCAAAGAUCCGUUAGAUCUUAUCGUAAGUAUCAUGUUUCUGUUGUUGAUUGAUUAUACUUCCAUUCUAUAAAGGAUCAUCUACCUGCAACUUUAAAUUUAAUAAUCGAUUGUCUUACCCAUCAACAGCGCCUUGUAGAAAAUCUCUAUUGCUCAAAUAGAGUUAUAAUUAGAGACACUAUCUAAUGUUAGCUUUUUUGUUUAGAAGGAUGCUCAAUCCAAAGACUACACCGUGAAGGAAUCAAAAGGCAACAGUCAAGGUAGCGAGGUAUGUCAUAAAUUUUUCUGCAUUUUCAUCAUACUGACCAACUCGCAUCAUUUAUCUAGCUGAUAAUUACAGCAGACUCCCUCUAAUUUUUGCUUAUUUUAUUUAGAAGGAUGCUCAUUCAAAAGACUACACUGUGGAGGAAUUGAAACGCAAAGGUCAAGGUAUUGAGGUAUGUCAUAAACUUUUCUGCAUUUUCAUCACACUGUUCAACUCGCAUGAUUCAUCUAGCUGAUAAUUAUAGCAGACCCUAUCUACAAAUUUUGAACAAAAAUUUUGACGAAAAUCCAUGCCCGUUUAGAUUUUUACGUUUUCCUUCAAAUUUUCACCCCCUCUCCCCUUCAGCAAUGUUGUGUAUGGAAGACACAUUGAUUUACAACUUGCAACAUUGUACUGGGGGUGAGGGGGCGGCGGUAUCAGGUAAAUUUCUGAAAAUAGCUGGAGUUCCAAUAUAUUUUGUCCAGGGUUGUAGUUUUUGCUUAUUUUAUUUAGAAGGACGCUCAUUCCAAAGACGCUGUUGGGGAGGAAUUGAAACUUAAAGGUCAAGGUAUUGAGGUAUGUCAUAAAUUUGUCUGUAUUACCAUCAUGCUGAUCAACUCAGUCAUUCAUCUAGCUGAUAAUUGUAACAGACCCUAUCUAAUGUUUGCUUCUUUCUAAAAUUUGCUUCUUUAAUGUACUAUUCUGCCUUGCAGGUAUCAAGAGAAAGUUCCUAUUUGAGAAUAGAAGGCUCUUGACAAAGUAAUGGUAAGAUUCUAGAAUUUAUUUGUUUUUUAGACAGUGGGUUCAAAAGUGUUGUGAACAUUGUUUUGUCUUUAGAAACAAUGGAUCCCAAUUCUUUUGCUGCUGGUAAUUUGACAGGGGCAGGUAAAAAUCAUAUCGCCUAUUACCAGUAGCUGCAAAAGCCACAAAAGAGGCAGAUUCAAUCGAGAAAAUUCAUAAUGAUAUCAUCGAACUUCAAAAAAUGCUUCUGAGUUUAGAUGAGAAGCAAGCUUUAAAACAAGGUGCAACUUUUAGAAAUCAUUUUGGGUAUAUCCAAUGGCCAAUAAUUAGUAAUAAUGAGAUAAGCAUCAUCCUAAUUGAUCAGCCAAUUGUGAUGUUGUACCACUAAAAUGUCAAAAAUUUUACUCUGUUUUUAUACGCAACUGGCACACUUAUAAGGAACUUCAAAGGAUUAAAGAAAUUUUUGUUUUAUGCAGCAACAGUCCAGCAUCCUUUUGGCAAAAGCCCUCCUUUACCUGUUGCCGAGUAUUUAACUACAAACCAGGACUUGCAUUCCAUUAAGCGAUUUUAAGUACACUACUAGAAAUGGAUAGCUUUAAGUAUGGCAACCAACAUGUUAAUAAACCAAAAUUAGUAGUACUUGAUUUAAGUAUGGCUAUUAUAAAUGCCUGCAUUAGUGAAUUUAAUGGGGAACAUAUACACGAAUAUAUAAACAGAUUCUUUCAGACAAUUAACGGUAGUGCCAGCUCUACAGAGUUGAGGAAAACUUUUCUCCAUAUUGUGCUUUUCACAUGAUAUGCCUAAAUCGCCAACAUGCUAUCAAAGAUUGCGGGAAUGGUGAAGAAGGAAAAAGUCGCCUACACUUUGCAACGAGCUUGUUUGGAAGACUAAUUAAUUGUUUGUCGAAAGAUGGUGCUACAAACGUUUAAAGAAUGGAACUAUUGUACUAGGAUCUAAAUAUGAUGAUAAGAAUGUAAAAACUGCUCUGAAAAACGUGGAAGAGUCAAUUAGAGGAAGUAGAACAUUGUAGUACCCAAGAAAAUUUCUGGUCAGAAGGGUUGAAUGCAGAUGAUGUUUCAGACUCGCUUGAAUAUGAUGCUGACAAUAGCUUUAAAAAUGAAACUAAGUUGCAUAAAUUUUGGGCGCAAAGGAUAAAAUCAAUAAAACAACACCAUAAUCCAGAAGAUGGCGAAACCAAUCGGUAUUACAUGCCAAAUUACUGUAAAUGAAUGUACGAUGACCUAUACAAACUGCCUUAUGUAGCAUUAUGGAGCAAUUUAUGCUUAGGAGAUUUGCAGCAUUUUAAUCCUGAAUACCAAGACUGGUUCUUGUCAAAGACCAAAACUAGCACCUUUGCAAAACAAUUUUCUGUUUAAGAAAAGAAAUAGGAGUAAUUUGAAGCAGUCAUUCGUUGAAUUUAUUCAGAAACUGCGGCAUCAUAAUUGGGCUUGCAAAGACAGUUCAUUUUAGGCUAAAAAACCAUAUCAGUGAAACAAAUAAAUUAUCUAAAGAAACAUAAUAGUUUUUUAACAAAAUUAAGAAACCUUCUUAUUAGUUACAACGAUUCCGGGGGAAGAGAAGGUGAUUUGGAAUGUGAUGCAAAAGAACUUUCUUGCAUUGUUGAAGGUUGGGAUAAAGGUAAUAAAAUCCUAAGGAAAAGGAAAACUCAAGGAAAGGUUCCAACGCCACUAAAGAAAAGAUUGAAUUUUGCUGCCUCUAAAACAGAAAAAAAAUUGUGCAAAGAAGGUUUUGACACUAAAAAUAAACGUUCUUGCAAGCGAAAUUCUCGAAAAGAAUCAACCCAAAACAAUGAUUCGAUCAACAAGGGAUACCCUCUAUAUAAGAGAGAGAUUUACAAAUCAGUUUCUCAAUCAGAAAAAAACAACAUGUCUUCUGUAUGCAAUAAAAUUGGGAAAGACUGGGAGGAAUUAUUGUCCGAAGAAAGAAAAGAAUAUAAUAGUUCUGCCUGUGCUAAAAGAGAUAAUUGCGCUCAGUGUCGCAAUGUGCAUAUGCACACGAUGGAAGCAAUUUUUUUUAUUGAUUGUCUGCCUAACCUAUUUGCUCAUUAUCGCUUCAAAUCUAUUCCUGAAAUAAUGCAACUGCCUGACCCAUUUUCCCUUUGGAUAAACCUGUCAUCUGAUGACAGAAGACAAAUCAAGAAAAAUGUUUAUUAUGUUGAGACAAAGCAUAUAUUCAAAAUAGGUGGACUGCAAAUUCUGAGUGAACGCAUGAUAGGAAAUAGUUGCAACAACUGCUGGAGUAACUCAGCAUUUCAUUUCCUUUGCAGAACUGCAUUAUCUAACUUGUUGCCUUCGUAAAACAACUGUAACACAAUUGUUUGCCAGUCAAUCCUCGAAAUUAGUGAAAAAUUUGAGCAAAACAUGGCAUCCACCCCCUUGGAAUUUACCUUGAACACGAGGACUAUUGUACCCUAUUUCCCUAAUUGUGAUCAGAAAAAACAUGAUGAUGGUGGUCUCACCAUGAUGAUGGAAAUUCUGUUGCAUCUUAUAGAUAAUAGCAUAGAUGACAUCGAAGGCUAUUUUUAAACAAAAAUCUUCAAUCUCACAAACUGCACUACUGGUAAUAAAGGUGGAACAUCUGCAGCGGCCAGGUUGCCAUUCCCAUCCAUUUAGGAAAAAAUUUGAUUCCGAACGUAUCUGUGCAGUCAUAUCUUUGUCUGUCCAUUUUCAAGGAUAGGUUCCACGACUUCUCUUGCGAUUGCAAGCCUGAAGAUGCUCAUUUGACUCAUAUAAUGUUUUAUACACAGCUCCCUGUAGCAUUAUUAAUUAUGGUCGAAAGUGCCAACAGCCUAGAAAAUGCAGUUCUGCAUUGUGCUGUUAUAAUUAACGAAACUCUCUUCUUAUCAAACAUGAUGCCAGGUCAGUAUAAUGAAGAUUCUUGUGUGUAUCGUUUCGCAGCUGUUCUUGUGAUAAGAAAUGCAAAGCAAACUACAAAUACGGCUUGGGAAAUCAAAAUCAGCCCCGUUGAUAAAAAAAUGUGGGAAGAAUUCUUUUUGGACUUGGGAAAAGCCCAAAUGAAAUUAAUCUACCUGUUGAAUCAUAUCAAACCAUUGCUUGUAAUGACAAUUUGCAUAGUGAUGUUAUCUCUACAUUCUUGCAACAUCUAGCUUUUAAAUAUUUUGGAAAAUUCGACAUUGAAGUGAUGCCAUCACAGGUUUUGACAGCCAUUCUGGAAAAAAGAUACACCAGACACAUUUUAUCAAGUUCUAUAUAAGAAUACCAACAAAUUCUGAGUGCAACUAUUGUCUUUGUUUCAUUCCACCAGGCCACCAAGGAUUCGCCUUGGCACUGUAGCAUUAUUGCUUUAUACCCCGAGAAAAGGCUGGUGGUACAUUAUGAUUCAGCAGCUAGUGUAGAUGGAGAAGGAAAAUGCCUUCUUUGCACUUAAUAUUUUUAUUUCAAAACUACUCUUCAUUGCAAAAAAGUCAGAAAUACCUAACUGGGUGUAUCUAUCAUUAACCAAAAACGGCCUCCAGCAGCAAUCAGAUACAGACAGCUGUGGGGUAUUGACAUGGUCAAUGCAUAUUGUUUGGUCACUUUGGCGGAUUUUGAGAUUUCUCAAACUGACCUUAUACCGAUAAGAUACUGGAUAGGAAAAGCUUGCAUCAAUGGGACAGAUAAUCUAGGUAGAAGAAGGUCCAACAAUGCCACUGUUUGGGGUGCAAACAGAUGAGCGAAAUAUUUCAAAGUACAAUCAUCAUGCAGAUCGAAACUCCUCUAAACCUUUUGCUACAUUAAAACCAAUUAUGGACUCGUUUUAUCUCCAGGAAACCAUUACUUAUCCAAAAAUCAUAUCAGAUGAAGCAGAAAGUAAUGAAAAUCCUAGGGAAGACACUAACUUGACAUCUGAUAGCAUGACCCUUGGUAAUAGAGAUUAUGAAGAAUCUGCUAGACUAGAGUUACUUAAAUUUUUUCACAAAACAUUUGCAAAGUCAAUUUGGCGCAUCAUGUCUCGUUACACUGCUUUACUAAUCGAAAUAGCAAGGACAGAUAAUGACUCUGUAGCAAGCCUCUAAUAUAAGUUUAAAUAUAAAAAUUACAUAGAAAGAUUACUUUGCCACACUUGUGCAAAUCCAACAGAUAUGUUCUUGUUUCCAGAACAACUUUCUCAGUUCGUAAUUAAAGAAUAUAAUAUGUCCUUUAAAGAAGCGACUGCAAAACUUUAAUCUGCAGAACAGCCUAGAAAUACGGUGUUUUUUAAUGCAAUUAAAAACUCAUAGAACCCAAUGACUUUGCUUUCCUCUUUCUCCAAAUCCACUGCAGUAUUGUAAAUGUAUCAUCUGUACAGUGACAAAUUUGUAAAAAAUUGUAAAAUAGAAUGAGAGAAGAUAGUAGUUUAGAAAUUAAACUUAAUUAGUUAAGAUAAUUUUUAAAUUGUGUCAAAACUACGCAGUUUUAUACAGCUCUGAUAAAGCUCCCUAUUAAGAGGCAGUAUUUCAUUAAUAGAAUCUACUUUAUGUUUAAUAUUUUGUUAAUUGACCCACAUUCUUGAUACGUUAUUCAGCAAAUAGUUAUAGUUUAAAUGAUUUUUGUAUUAAAAUUUUUACAAAUUUAUACAAUUUAUACAAAUUUUUGCUGAUUAGCAAAUUUCUGCAUGGCAGAAAAAUCAUUGUAGGUUUCCCUAUACUUCACGCAUUCAACGAAUUGAUCUAUAUCGCCAUUGUCCUGCGUUUGGUCUACAAUUUUCAUAUACCAAGUCUAAAUCAAUGUAUAUAAAUAAUUUACAUGUUUAUUAGUAAUCGUAUAUGUUAAAUGGGCCUUUUUGCUGUAGGUUGAAACCAAACGCAAAGUAUAAUAAAAUCAAUCUCAAUAAGCACAAACAAAGAGAUCCAUUUAACCUUUAGUGUUGUAACAAGUUUCAUUAUAGAAUUUAAGUUAACAUUUGCUAUAGAAUUUAAGUUAAUAAAGAUUUGUACCAUUUCGAUGAACUUUAAAUAAAUCAUAAUUCUGACUCUGCAAACUGUCGUUUGUCAUCUUUUGGGGUUCACCGUCACUGAUAUAAAAAUCGCCGCCAGACCCAAAAAAACAUGUUGAGUACAUUACAGUAAAACCUUGCAAACAAAGAACAUAGGAAAAUAAGAACUUACGGACUGAUUUUGUGGAAAAUAACACCCAAAGAUAAGAACCAAAAACAGACUGGUUUCUUUCCAUGUUCUUAUGAGAUUGUUCAUCAUAUUAAAUAAAACAUGAAAUUCUCAAAGUCAGAAUAUAUAGUUUUCAAGUCGUCAUUGUGGUUUGAUUAAUUGAUAUUCAGAGCCAUGGCAUUUUUUCAUUUUUCAUAUUAUGAUUGAAAUUGGUUUGUCCCCAACAUAAUACCAUAUCCUCUACAAUUUGAAAUUCAGUCAGGCCAUUCUCAAAUCUAGUUUCUUUUCUUGUGCAUCAUAGUUGUUAGUGUCCUUGCGAUAAGAGUACCACAUUUACGGCUGAAAAUAUCUUGAGUACCACAUUUAUAAGAACCUAGUCAGUCUGUUUUUAAAAAAGGAGGUUCUUGUCUGCGGGGUUUUACUGUAUUUCUAGUUACCCUACCAAGUUUCAUGUUUCAUGCUAAUUAGGGCUAAUUAAGGUUAAUUAAAGAUAAAUCAGUAAGAUUUCCAAAGUCCUGAACCGCUGAUCAUAGAAAGUUGGUUGACACCUCAAAAGAAGCAAAAUACCUGAAUUAUAGGGGGCGCUUUAAGAUGUGUAUGCACCUCAGAUGACCGAAAGUGCCUUAUUAGGGCUAACUAAGGUUAUUUAAUGCAGUUCAGCCAUAUUUCACAACUGCCAAACCACUGGUUGUAGAAAGUUGGUUGACCCCUCAAAAGAUGCAGAAGACCCCAACUAUAGGUUGUGUGCUAUUUCAAUUUGUGAGCAAUUUGCUAAAUCAGGUAAUAAAUUUGUUUCUUUGCGUUUUCCUCAGGAAACAUGAUUUGUUUUGGCGAUUGGCGAUGUCCUUAUCGAUUUAGGACAUUACAUGCCAUUUGUAUUAGGUGACUGUGAAAUCAUUCCGGUGACAGCACAUGUUCUCUUCGCGCUCUUCGAAUUAUUCUUUGCUUUUCAGUAUUAUGACUGCAAAUCGAAUGUUUCCAAUAGAAAUGAUCACAAAGAGAAAUUUCUUAUGAACAGCUGUUUGUUUGGAAAGAAAGUUUCAUAUAGAAAGGAUUGGAGAAACUUUAAGUCUUCAAAAUCUUUAAAGAAGCAAAUUCGUCAGAGGAGGGCCUACUCGGUUGGUUUGGAAAGUAUGGACCUUUACUUUAGUUUGCUGCUUUGUGGUGACAUCAAAUUAAAUUCUGGGCCGACGAAUCUGUUGCAAGGGUUGAGACUCCCGAUUUUUCUGAAAUUUUACUUCGACUUGAGAAGAAAAUUGAUGAUGGCAUUGAGAAGGAAAUCAUUACGACUUCAGGCAUUCAGAAGGAAAUCAAAGUUUACACUAUUGUGUAGGUUUUUAUUGAAUGAUCUUAAUUUUUGUUUAAACAUCUAUUCUAGGUUGGGAGAAUCUGAUAUCUCGGCUACACAACAUUAGCAUGCACAGAUGUUUCUUGCAAGUGGAACGAUGACUUUGUUGAAAAAAAUCGAAGGAACUGAACUCUCAAAAAUGAAACUCCUUAAGAGAACAGAAGUGAAAAGACCUCAAAAAAGACGUUUUGCUAACACAUCUGAUGCUGAAAGGGAUGAUUUUUUGAAUGCUCCAGUUCUGAGUAGGCCAACACUGCCAAGAUCACUGCAUGAUUAUUUCUGCCCUCGAGCAAUGUCAUCAGAAGCAAUGAUAAAAAAGAUUGAAAAUUUCCUCUGAUGACAGGAAAAUUGUUGAGCAAUCAACAAAGUUGCAAAGUGACUCCAUUUUCUGGAAAAAAGUGCGACUUGGUAGAAUAACAGCUUCUGUCGCCCCUGGAGGUUUUACACUGCAAGAGGAAGAGCCCGCCCAAUCACUGAUUUUGAAAAUAUGCAGGUUAUCUCCCCCUCUCAAUGUCCCAGUUGUUUCCUGGAGAAGAGAGCAUGAGGCAGAGGCAAUUAGAUACUACGAGGGUCAUCUUCAAAACAGCCAUGUUAAUCUGAAGUUGGAGAAAUCUGGUCUCAUGCUUGAUGAUCUACAUCAUUUCCUUGGUGCAUCUGCUGAUGCAAUAGCUUCCUGUGAAUGCCACGGCAAAUUUCUUGUUGAAAUUAUUUGCCCCUUCAAACACAGGAAGAAGCAAUGCAUUGAAGAAUGCUUCGCAGACAAAGAUUUUUGCAUUGACAGUUCAAUGAAAAUUAAAAAAAACCCAGACAUAUUACACCCAGAUUCAGAUGCAAAUGUACAUAUACAAGAUGAAAGUGAACCACCUGGUAAUAUAAACACAAAAUUUUUGUAGAGGGGUUAUUGCUGAAUAUGAUGAGGAUUUUUCUGCCAGUAUUGUUAACUCGUUUGCUUUCAUGAGAAGUUCAUUGGACCAGAGCUUAUUACAAGAAGAACAGAAAGUGAAGUACCUGUUUCAGAGCCUAAAGAUGGUUCUCAACCUUUUUGGUAUUGCCAAAAGCCAUAUAAAGAAGGGGAUAGACUGGCUGGUUGUGACAACCCACACUGUAAAUAUCAGUGGAUUCAUUUCCAAUGUGCUGAAAUCAGAAGUCAGCCAAGAAGCAAACAGAACUGGUUCUGCAAGGAUUGCAAAAAGAAAUAAGAACAGUUAAAAAUUAUAUUCAUCUGAUCAAAUGUAAGUUAUGUUCAAUAUUAGUUACAAUAUUAUAUUUUCAGUGACAACAUUUUACUGAACAAUAAAGCAAUUUGCUGUUUACUUUGUCAAUGUUCGCUAUAAAUUAUCCCUGUUGUUAAAUUCACUAGGGCAGCACAAACCACUACAAGUUUAUAGAUAUAAGGUAUUUCGUCAGAAACUUCAUUAUUUAGAGAUUUAAUGAAUGUUAUUGGCAAAGUUUCUUAAUUAGACCAAUCACCCUUUCUACACGAAUCCUUAUAUUUGCAACUUCAUUAGCAGAAAUUUGCCUUUCGUAAAUGCAGGAAUUAUAAGAUCUGCACAGCAUACUGAUGUAAAGUCGUCCUGAAGAGUUAAACCUGUCUGCAAGAAUUUGGUCACCAGAUUCAGGCAAGUUUGGGUUUAUAAAUCCUGAUUCCUUGACAAUUUGCACAUCUGUUGCUUCCCCACCCCAAGCUUUUGAUAGGAAGGAAACUGCUCCAAGAGGACUACAGCUAAUUAAAAAUUUAAUUGUGCUGUGCUUCUUAUAGAUUGAGUACACUUGAGCUUUCAAGUUUCCUGGUCUUUCAAUGAAUAUUUCGAAGCAGUCAAUUAUGCUGGUCAGCCUUGGAAAGUACUGCCUGAAUAAAGUGUCUGUCUUAUAAAAUCAUGACCCGGCCAACAAACUAAAAAUUUCAUUUUCAAGUACAUCCAAAAAAAUUAUCCCCCAAAAUGUGCUUUGUGACAGAUUAACAGAUAUUCAAAGGACAUAUUCAACCUACUAGCCUUACAACAACCAUCAAGAUCUGAUUUUUCAAUGGUAAGUUUUUUCUUGGUUGUACCAUGUGUGGCAAAAGCAGAUUGGUGACAGAAUUAGAAACUUUUAAAAAAAACCGUGAGAUACUUGGCUGCAUCAUUAUUGUCUUCCAUGACCACUGGGUCAUAAUUUGUCAGGAGAAGCUGAAGUUACAAAAGCUCCAGGUUGUUUCAUUGGAUUUUAGGCAAGUCAACAAGGAAAAGGCUUUUGAUAUGGUUGUAGCUAAUUUAGUAAAGAGAUUGUGGAUUAUAGAAACAUUCUUUGAUAAGAAUUAGUCAUAAAUGAUCCGUUUUUGCUUACAAUAGGUAUUAAUUUAAGUGGUUUUAUCAGCAAUUGAAUGAAUGUUUGUUCCUGUUUGUAUCAAAAGUACCAACAGGUCUUCCGUCCUUCUCAUUCCAUUCAUCAUCAUUAUGGAUAGCUUCAUUACUAAUAUCACCUUUUUCCUCAACUUCCGAAUCAUUUUGAGAUUCUAUAGAGUUGGAUUCAUUUUGUGUAUCAUCAAAUAUAUCAUCUUUAUUCCACGAAACAAAGCAAAAUACUAAUUCAUUUCUUGAUUUACAAUUUCAAGCUCCUUUAACCAAGUGUUGGAAAAUUCCUUCUGCUUUGUAAAGAUCGCUAGUUUCAGAGAGGUGGUGUGCAGCAUACAAGACACGUAAUGGUCUAACAUGCUGAAUCAUGCAAUGUCCUUUGUAUGAUUUUGAUCUUUUUAGUUUAAUAUCUAUCGAUUGUGGUUCAUCUAGAGAUCUAGGUAAGAGAUUGAUUGUUCUAUUGACAUCAGCAGGAACAUUAACAACAUUUCCAUGAAUGCCCAGCUGAUUUUCCCUGGGUAAUUCACGGAUUUGCAUGAAAGGAAUUCUCAGAGCUAUAAGUUGCUGUUCAAGAGCAGUCAAGUCAAGAAUAUCCACCCACAUUGGUUGCGAGCCGAGUAAAAUAGAGAAGGACGUAAAUAGAGAAAUAUUUCCGGUUAGAGGUAAAAUAGAGAAAUCAGAUUAACCGCUGUUUGAUCCUAUUGUCAGCACUCAAUUACUAAAAGGUUAAGUAUAGGCUCUCAGGAUGAAAUGGAGAAGCGGUUUGGCUCUCACAGGUAAAAUAGAGAAAUGUGGCGCAGUAGGUUCACUGAGCACAAUUCCAUGGCUUUAAUUCGUAAAAAUUUUAGGAGAUCCUCCCGUUUUAUCAAGUUAACAAGUUUUAUUAGAUUUAAAAUCAAAACUCCAGCCAUUUAAAUGGCUCUCACAGGUAAAAUAGAGAAAGAGUUUAUGUCGCCAAAGGGUAGAGAAGGUUUUGGGACGUAUAAAAUGUGAAAACGCUAUGGGUGGUGUUGUCCUUGUCAAUUAUCUCAUAUUCAAUAAUAGGACAAAAUUGCUUCAUCUUUCAGAAUAGUUACGUAAUGUGAUAAGUAGCAUCAUAGGAUGCACAGUUAGAUCCAAGGAAUACUUUUCCUGUAGUACUUAAUGAAGGCACGUAUAACAAUGAUUAAAGUUGUAAAACAUAGAACUUUUGCACCGCACAAAAGAUCUGGAGUCCCCUUUGGGGCCCAUAUAAUCACAAGAAAUGGUUGUGCACAACACACAUGGAAAAUGCGUGGGGUAGAUUGGAAAGGAACGGGUGGGAGAAGCCAAGAAGAAAGUGGAAGCCAGGUGAAAGUGGAAAGCAAAACAAUGCUUUGGCUUCUCUGAAUGGCUUUUCUAAAAGACAGUGUAAGUACUGUCACCUCAUUUAUUUGCACAUUAAUCUUUCUGUUGUAUCCAUUCAAAAUACAUCUGAUUGUCCGAAUUGUUUUCUCCUCCACUAAGGGUGUACCAGCCUUUGCUUCAUGAAAAAGCUAACAUUUUGACACAACUAGAAAUCAAAGUAUAAAUUAUGGCACAAAGCUACGUCUAUGCUUAUUCUAUUUAGGUACUUUUUUUCUUGGACUCCCAACUUCGGCCAAUAGUAGAAGAUACUGUUCCCAGCAGCCUGGAAUAUCAACUCGACGCCAGGAGGCUGUUUCCUUGAUGAAAUGCACUCUGUGUCAGAACAUGACCCCUAGUUCGUCGUCUUUAUGGUAGGAACCAACAGUAUGUCCCGACACUGCAUGUUCAAUCAUGCAAGAAGAGACUUUUCGGCAUCGGUGGAAAAGUUUCUGAAAAUAUUUUUAUGUACUUAGUGGUUAUAGUUAUAUAUAAAGGGAUUAUAUAACUAUUUAGGUUAUUUUACUAGGCGUCGCAAUCUCCAUUGCACCUUGCCUGGAUGAUGUUGAUGUGCGACGGCACCUUUUCAACCAAGCCAUGGAAGAAGAGUGCAAGAAGUUCAAUGUUCUCUUUUUUGACAUUGAAAACUGCAUCGAUUUUACAACCAGACAAACAUGGUCAAGUCAAGACAGUAUUCACUUGAGUGAAGAUGUAGCUUUACCCUCUCUUGUUGAUGGUUUGAAAGAAUUCUUGUGCACAGCAUCACAACGUGUAGUAGAGCCAGCGAUGAAAACAGUGCAAAAAUGUCCUGAAUGGCUUUGGAGGGAGCUGAAGCAUCAUAACGUCAGAGGUAAGAUAUUUUUCUUGCUCAAGGUGUCUUUAGUCAUUAGCCAUGUCCAAACAAUUAAGACAUAAGUUCAUAAAAGACAUAUGAACUUAUAAAAAGUGUUUUUGUUUUUAAGGUAAGCUACAAGAAAAAAAAGAGCAAGAGACCCGUCCUCUAACCUUUCCUUGACCCAAGAUCGUGAAAAAGAACCACAAGGAUCAAUUACAAUCAUUGAAGUAUAAAACAUUUAUUUUUUGUCUUUUCUUUGAGUAGAGCAAAUCUUGAAAUGGGCCUUUUAAAUACUUCAUACAAGUUGAUACAUUGCAGAUGGUUUUCAGCUGAGAGAACUAAGGGGCUUUUGUGCUAGAUACAAUGCAGCAGACGUGUGACAUGAGUACAGGAUAAAUACUUUUCUGGCUCCAAUCUUACACCUUCAGAUGCAUAGGACAAUAAUGUCAAUAUACCACUUUCUUGAAUCUUGAAUAUCUUGCACCAUAAUAGCUAAACAGGAUAUUUUUCUUUUCUAUUGACGUCACCAACUCCGGCAAUGGCUUUGCCAAAGAUUGACAAAAGCAGGGGACAAGUUGUCGGAAAUGUAUUGAUACCCUGGAAGUGCAGUACCAAUCUGUACAAGGAAGGAAUGUGGAAGAUUUCAUGCCUAUGUCCAACAGAACAGUUAAAUUUUGUUUCAUAUAUUAAAUUUUGCUUUGCUUCUGUCACAAAGAUUGUCUAUAAGACCGAUUUUUCCAUGCAGAAAAAAAUCAAAUUGGAUCCAACUUUUUUGCAUAAAUUGUAGACCUUAAUGUUGAUGAUUUGUAGAACUAAAAUCAAACUUCACCUAGAGAAAGUUGUUCACUUUUCCAAUUUUAUAUGGAAAGCAUAUUAUUUCCUUUGAAUUUCGAAACUACUCAGGAGGUUGUAGUCACUGUCGUUUUACGUUUUAUGGCUUCUGCAAUCAGUUGGCUUUGUUGGUUGAAGUUGUUCUUAAUAGUGGAUACUUUUUCCACAGAUGAUCAGCCAAUUGAGGAGAUUAUUGCUGAACUUGAUGCAUCUUUUACAAGUCUGAAUGCCUUAUCUGAAGGAAGACAAGAAAACAAAAAGAGGAUAAGGAAGAUUGAUUCAGGUAUUGGCCUGACAAAAGUAUGAUUAUUUUAAUGAAAAGUAUUUUGAAUGAUAAUAUAGAUGGAAAUAUAGCAAAAAGACAGAUUGACAUGGUAAUAGACCGAUACAAAUAGAAAACAUGGUUUUGUGAACAUAUAGCAAAAAUCUAAGCUGGUUAGCACAUAUCUAUUGCACUUAAAACAUCUUAAAAUAAAGUCAUCAUUCACAAUUAACAUCAAAAUAAACUAUUUAGCUUUACA